rnacentral:rRNA from 1 species
UAGGGAAUCUUCCGCAAUGGGCGAAAGCCUGACGGAGCAACGCCGCGUGAGUGAUGAAGGUCUUCGGAUCGUAAAACUCUGUUAUUAGGGAAGAACAAAUGUGUAAGUAACUAUGCACGUCUUGACGGUACCUAAUCAGAAAGCCACGGCUAACUACGUGCCAGCAGCCGCGGUAAUACGUAGGUGGCAAGCGUUAUCCGGAAUUAUUGGGCGUAAAGCGCGCGUAGGCGGUUUUUUAAGUCUGAUGUGAAAGCCCACGGCUCAACCGUGGAGGGUCAUUGGAAACUGGAAAACUUGAGUGCAGAAGAGGAAAGUGGAAUUCCAUGUGUAGCGGUGAAAUGCGCAGAGAUAUGGAGGAACACCAGUGGCGAAGGCGACUUUCUGGUCUGUAGCUGACGCUGAUGUGCGAAAGCGUGGGAAUCAAACAGG